AGAAUCAACGCUGGCGGCGUGCCUAACACAUGCAAGUCGAGCGAGAAAGUGGAGCAAUCCAUGAGUAAAGCGGCGCACGGGUGAGUAACACGUGACUAACCUGCCCUUGAGUGGGGAAUAACCUGGGGAAACCUUAGCUAAUACCGCAUAACACCUACGGGUCAAAGGAGCAAUUCGCUUUGGGAGGGGGUCGCGGCCGAUUAGUUAGUUGGCGGGGUAAUGGCCCACCAAGACAGUGAUCGGUA
rnacentral:rRNA from 1 species